UCUUUUUCACAUUCAUGAUUAAAUUGGUGGAUUUUAUAUAAUCAUUAUCUUCCAGCAAAUUAAGUGAAAGACUUGGCUACAGAUUGAUUAGAGGAUGACAAAAUUGUCUGAUAGUCUUUCUUUGCAACAUUUGCUGUUGAUCAGUUUAGAAGCUGAUUUCAGUACAUGUGAAUUACAACACAGAGAAAUGGCUAUGUACUAUAUUAGAAUCUAAAUGACAAAGCAAGAAUAUUAGGAAUAGGAUUUACUUUUGAGUUCCUAGAAGUGUUAUUAGAGCUCUUGACCCGUGUCCUCCAGAUCUGAUCUAGCCAAUGAGAAUUUAGGAAACUCCUUUUUUUUUCCCUAGAGUAACGACAAGAUAUAACAGGAUCAGUGCCAACUGGGAGAUAGGAACAGGAGCAGGGAGGAGGGCAAGGGACAAGGAGUUAUGCCUAAAUGAAGUCACUAAUUUGAUGGUGAAAAUAGCUAGGUCAGUCUAAAAACUGCUUCAUUUUGUCAUGCUAACUAUUAAUUUUUGUUGACCCAAAGAAUCCAGGAAAGUGAAUUGAUCUCUUAGAGUAGGCAUAUAUGUGUAUAUGUCCGAAUAUUCCCUUUGCUCUUCGUCUUCGAGGGCACUCACAUAUGAAACCAUAAAACUGCUGCUGGGAGUUAAAACUGUAUGUCUCAUUAAGGAUAAGAUUCACCUUUCCCUUCAGAGUAAGGGACUCAUGUCUUUAGGAGAUUACUCCUUGGACGUUUACGUUUCAAAGGGGGAGAAUUCUCCCCCUUAGUCUAAUAUAGAAUGUCAGCAUAGCAGUGCAUUCAAGCUAAGACAGAAGUAAGCAACCAGUAGGAGCCCUGGGAAUGAAUGUCACUAACACAGAGCUGAAUGAUGUGUUUAUGUUGGUUAUUGCUGGUGUGCAAUUCUUAGAGGAAUGGAGAAAUCAUAAAAUUUGUGCAAUCUAAUUAGAACUCUGCCAUCAUAUGCUCCUUGCUGAUUUAGCUGCUGCUGCUGCUGCUGCCACUGCUUCUUCUCAUCUAUACGGAAAAGAGGUGUCAUUUCACUACUAGAAUCCACAUACUUCACAGGUUUCAAGGCAGUGUGAGAAACAGUGGAGAAAGAAAGGGUUAGAUUCGAUAGAUAAGGAUGAAGCAACAUACAGUAUUUUAAGGUGUGAAUCAUCUUGUGACACAAGACUAUUUUUACUCAAGGGACUAAGCAGAAUCUUUGGAUGGGAGAAGCUCUGUUCAGGAAUUACCAUUUCCUUUUUGUAUGUCUAUAGUAUCACUAUUAGAGAUCAGUCUAGUCUAGCAAGGGGAUAAAUUCUUCUGUCAUUGCUAAAACAAGCUGAAAAUUACAUGCUGAAACAUUUUUUUCCUUAUUUCGUUUAAGAAAAAUUGUAGUUGUUUUAUAAGCUUCGCAAGAGAGAUUCAAAAAGUCUCUCAACUGUCAAAAUUUUGCUGCAACCCUGUCAGAUUCAGAAAGAAAUUCAAGGUAGGAGAGCCUAAUAGAACUUCAGACCAAAUAUAAACUUAUUCAAAGUAAGGUAUCCAGGGAUCUCCUUCCAGUCUCUUCCCCCAUUCCCCCAUGUAAGUUUUUCUUUUCUUUUUUUUUAACUGCAGAUCUAGACAUGUAAAAUGUUUGGUUUUCUCACUUUCCCUCCAGCCUAUCUCAUCCCAUUCACCUUUGCAUCAACAAAAGCCCAGAUCAGGAAGGCUUUUGCAGUCCCUGUUUGCAGAUUUCUCAGGGAGAGUUUUUAUGUGUGAUUUGGGUAGACAUCUUCCCAUUUUAUAAAUCAGGUCAUGCCAGUGCAUAUCCAGAAAGCUUCUACAACCACCUGCAAUGUGAGUCUGUUAUGUUCUGUUGUUAUGUUAGCUAUUUUCUGCCUAUUACUGAACAGCUGGGAUUUUAGAAACAGCUGGAUGAUUAGUUGUGUUUUUUCCGUUUUUCACCCAGAUGCUUUAUUACUGUGUAGAAACAACCCCAAUGUGGAACAACCUGGGAGUAUAAUAGCGAAAAUCUGCUCUGAUGCAACUGUUGUUAUUAGGAAUUGAAUCAAGAAAAUUACAGGCAAACAGUUUUGACUAUUGUCUGCUUUACAAACAUGUUUGAUACAGCAUUCUCAUUUCCAUUUCUAGGCAAAAUGAUUUGAUUUAGCAACUUUAAAAUGCCUCUUCCAUUAUUCCUUAGGCUAUCGAAGCUGUGCUUUGGCUGUUAUGUUUAUUUGCUUAAGGGAAAAUGUCUAUACACAAUGAGGCAUCACCUGAGUUUUCCAUUCACUGCUGGCAAGAGGAGCUGACAGAGGCAGGCAAGUGACAGUCUUCACACUCGCCACAGUCUAUUUUUAGGUUGUUGACUUUGUGGCUGACUUCAGCCCUGAUGGGAUGGAUUGACAUUCGAAGACAAUGAAAUGUUUUAUUAUGAAGAUUUGCAGAUCUAUAAAACUGGAUGGUAUUGUGAAAGUGAUAAAUUUAAUUCAGGUGCUGUUAGUUGGUUCCUUACCCAGGGCUAAAAUUAGAAUAAAAAAGAUGGGUAGACGCUUUUUCCUUUUCUAAUUAUUCUUUCAACAGAUGUUUGUUAAGCUUAUCCUAGCUGGCUAGGCUGUGUCAUGUACC
rnacentral:lncRNA from 1 species